UACGUAGGGUCCGAGCGUUGUCCGGAAUUAUUGGGCGUAAAGGGCUCGUAGGCGGUUUGUCGCGUCGGGAGUGAAAACACCAGGCUUAACUUGGUGCUUGCUUUCGAUACGGGCAGACUUGAGGCAUGCAGGGGAGAACGGAAUUCCUGGUGUAGCGGUGAAAUGCGCAGAUAUCAGGAGGAACACCGGUGGCGAAGGCGGUUCUCUGGGCAUGUUCUGACGCUGAGGAGCGAAAGUAUGGGGAGCGAACAGG
rnacentral:rRNA from 1 species